GAGUUUGAUUAUGGCUCAGAGUGAACGCUGGCGGCAGGCCUAACACAUGCAAGUCGAACGGCAGCGCGAGAGAGCUUGCUCUCUUGGCGGCGAGUGGCGGACGGGUGAGGAAUACGUCGGAAUCUGCCUAUUUGUGGGGGAUAACGUAGGGAAACUUACGCUAAUACCGCAUACGUCCUACGGGAGAAAGCAGGGGACCUUCGGGCCUUGCGCAGAUAGAUGAGCCGACGUCGGAUUAGCUAGUUGGGGGGGUAAUGGCCCACCAAGGCGACGAUCCGUAGCUGGUCUGAGAGGAUGAUCAGCCACACUGGAACUGAGACACGGUCCAGACUCCUACGGGAGGCAGCAGUGGGGAAUAUUGGACAAUGGGCGCAAGCCUGAUCCAGCCAUGCCGCGUGGGUGAAGAAGGCCUUCGGGUUGUAAAGCCCUUUUGUUGGGAAAGAAAAGCAUGCGGUUAAUACCCGUGUGUCAUGACGUACCCAAAGAAUAAGCCCCGCA
rnacentral:rRNA from 1 species